UACGGAGGUGGCAGGCGUUACUCGGAUUGAUUGGGUGUAAAGGGUGUGUAGGUGGCGAGUUAAGUCGAAUGUGAAAGCCCAUGGUUCAACCAUGGAAUUGCAUUCGAAACUGGCUUGCUUGAGCGACUGAGAGGUAAAUGGAAUUCCCGGUGUAACAGUGAAAUGUGUAGAUAUCGGGAGGAACACCAGUGGCGAAGGCGAUUUACUGGCAGUCUGCUGACACUGAAACACGAGAGCUAGGGGAGCAAACAGG
rnacentral:rRNA from 1 species